AGAAAGAAAAUCAUGACUUGUAGCACGCAUUGCUUUCCCAGCUCUGCAACUGAAUUCCAACCCAGGCCUAUGUAGACGAGUUCCACUCCUGUAUCUAGAUCAAGACUCAUCAUGCUCUUCUCUCAAUUGUUUCCUAACUGGAACUUAUUACCCUGUUUUGGCAAAUCAGCACUUCUGGUCUCCUGAGUCUGCCCUCAGACGACGAUUCCCGUCUUAAGGUACAUGUGGGUCCCCACCCUGCAUGUUUUCUCAUCAGCUGAAGAUUAUCUCAGUCAGGUACUGUUGGCGUCUUCAUUUCAGAGAUGGGGUCACUGAGCCGUGGAGAAGUUAGGAAACUUGCCUAGGGCAUCAAACUGCUGAGAAGUGAAGCUGGCCCAGGAUCUGCUUUUCUUGUAAAUGCACCACACUACAGUCCACACUGAACUGAGACACACAGCCUGGAGCUUUACAGCCUCACCCUGCAUAUCUUUGGACUCACAAGCAAUACGAGCUACCAACCCUCCAGGCCUGGGGAGUACACUGCAUCCCUUGAUCAUCAGCUCCAAAACUGCAGAUGCAAGUGUGUAUGUAGCAGUUUGAACUUCCAAACAAGAACUUCUCCCCAGGAUCAAGAACUCAACCCUGCCCAGUAAGAACUCUGCCCCAGGAGACCUCAACUGAUACCAAAGAUGGCCUUCCCUUCUCGUAUCUUCCUCUUCUGUUGUUCAAAUACCGGAACCUGACAUCGGUUGUCUCUCAGAAUCCUCCAAAGAACUAACAACCCAGAGCAAAAGGAAAUUGUUUAUCUCUUGUUUGGAAAAAGCUGGACCAGGACAAGCACAGAGAUCGGCACAGCAGUGGACCCGGCUCACCAGGACCUCCGAGUUCUCUUCUUUGUACUCCACCUUUGGAAGAAGCUGCCUUUCCAAAACCUCACAGCCAAGAUACCUACUACAGUUCUAGGAAAAAAACCCAAAAAACAAUAAAACAAAACACCCCCAUUCCAGGUCCCUAGUGGUGGGAGAGAGAUUCCUUUUAACGUCUGAUUCUUGGGAAGACCCAGCCUAAGGCAUGAUGUCACUACUUGCCUUGCAUCUGGAAGAUUCUUUACUCCUUCUGCAUCUUACUCCAGAGACACAGCAAAGCAGUCAUCAACAGUUUGAGCAUGGAGGCGAGGAGCUACAGGAGAGAUGCUGAAGAUACCCAGUGAGUUCAUUGAGAUGCUGAAUCAACUCAAAAGAAGAGAGAGGAUCACAGCACUGACAUAGAAAGUAGGCCCUCCCCAAGUUAGUAUCAAUGGGGAACACAGCAGAGAAUGAAUGAGAACAUCAGUGGGGAAAUAUGCAGAAUCCAGGAGGCAGUAAAGGACACCAGAGGCAUAUGAAGGGGACAUAAUUCCUCACCUUACACAAUGGGAAAUUAACAGACACAUCUUGAGGUAGGAGCCCUGGAAAUUUCUGACCUCUGUGUUUUAUAAUACACAGCCAAUCAUGCAAGCUAAACAGUAGUUAUCCAUUUAUAUUUCAUCUUUUGAGAGCUGUUUAUUCAUUUCAUUAGUCUCUGUCACCUAGAGAUUUAUCAAUAUUACACCAUCUUUUCCUCAUGUAUACUAAAUAAAGUUCACGAUCUUUACUGUGGCA
rnacentral:sRNA from 1 species